GACGAACGCUGGCGGCGUGCCUAACACAUGCAAGUCAACUUGACUGAAGGAGCAAUCUGACAGUAGAGUGGCGCAAGGGUGCGUAACGCGUAAGUAACUUGCCCAAGGUAAGGAAUAACGUCGAAAAUCGGCGCUAAUACCUCAUAAUGCAGCGGAUCCGCAUGGAUAUGUUGUUAAAGGUUUACCGCCUUGGGAUAGGCUUGCGUCGGAUUAGUUAGUUGGUGUGGUAACGGCACACCAAGGCUACGAUCAGUAACUGGUCUGAGAGGAUGAUCAGUCACACUGGAACUGAGACACGGUCCAGACUCCUACGGGAGGCAGCAGUGAGGAAUAUUGGGCAAUGCUCGAAAGAGUGACCCAGCAACGCCGCGUGGAGGAUGAAGGUAUUCUAUAUCGUAAACUCCUGUGAGAGCAGACGAAAGACAGAUUAUUAAUCUGGAUGACUGUAUGCUCAGAGGAAGCCCCGGCUAACUACGUGCCAG
rnacentral:rRNA from 1 species